GACGAACGCUGGCGGCGUGCUUAACACAUGCAAGUCGAACGAUGAACUUGGAGCUUGCUCUGGGGGACUAGUGGCGAACGGGUGAGUAACACGUGAGUAACCUGCCCUGGACUCUGGGAUAACUUCGAGAAAUCGGAGCUAAUACCGGAUAGGACCUUGCACCGCAUGGUGUGGGGUGGAAAGUUUUUCGGUUUGGGAUGGACUCGCGGCCUAUCAGCUUGUUGGUGAGGUAAUGGCUCACCAAGGCGUCGACGGGUAGCCGGCCUGAGAGGGUGGCCGGCCACACUGGGACUGAGACACGGCCCAGACUCCUACGGGAGGCAGCAGUGGGGAAUAUUGCACAAUGGGCGCAAGCCUGAUGCAGCAACGCCGCGUGCGGGAUGACGGCCUUCGGGUUGUAAACCGCUUUUAGUAGGGAAGAAGCCUUCGGGUGACGGUACCUGCAGAAAAAGGACCGGCUAACUACGUGCCAGCCGCCGCGGUAAUAC
rnacentral:rRNA from 1 species